rnacentral:rRNA from 1 species
UACGUAGGGGGCAAGCGUUGUCCGGAAUCAUUGGGCGUAAAGAGCGUGUAGGCGGCUUGGUAAGUCCGCUGUGAAAGCCCAGGGCUCAACCCUGGAAUGCCGGUGGAAACUGUCAAGCUUGAGUCCGGAAGAGGCGAGUGGAAUUCCUGGUGUAGCGGUGAAAUGCGCAGAUAUCAGGAGGAACACCGGUGGCGAAGGCGGGUCUCUGGGCCGAUACUGACGCUGAGGAGCGAAAGCGUGGGGAGCGAACAGG